rnacentral:rRNA from 1 species
AACGAACGCUGGCGGCAGGCCUAAUACAUGCAAGUCGAGCGGAGAGGCGGACGGGUGAGUAAUGCCUAGGAAGCAGCCCGGUAGUGGGGGAUAACGCACGGAAACGGGAGCCAAUACAGCAUACUAUCAGAUGAGCCUCGGUCGGCUUAGCUAGUUGGUGGGGUAAAGGCCUACCAAGGCGACGAUCCGUAACUGGUCUGAGAGGAUGAUCGGUCACACUGGAACUGAGACACGGUCCAGACUCCUACGGGAGGCAGCAGUAGGGAAUAUUGGGCAAUGGGCGAAAGCCUGAUCCAGCCAUGCCGCGUGAGUGAAGAAGGUCUUCGGAUUGUAAAGCUCUUUAAUUUGGGAAGCGUUACCUACAGAAAAAGCACCGGCUAACUUCGUGCCAGCAGCCGCGGUAAUUC